AGAGUUUGAUCCUGGCUCAGGAUGAAUGCUGGCGGCGUGCCUAAUACAUGCAAGUCGAGCGUAACAGGGCUUCACCGUUUCCUUGACACACCUAGCGCUUCUAUCGUAGGUUGGUUCGAUCGAGGGAACAGUGAAGCUGCUGACGAGCGGCGGACGGCUGAGUAACGCGUGGGAACGGACCCAAACUGAGGGAUAACUAGUCGAAAGAUUAGCUAAUACCGCAUGUGAUCUUCGGAUUAAGGAUUUAUCCGGUUUGGGACUGGCCUGCGUACGAUUAGAUAGUUGGUAGGGUAAUGGCCUCCAAGUCGACGAUCGUUAGAUGGUUUGAGAAGAUGAUCAUCCAGACUGGGACUGAGACACGCCCAGACUCCUACGGGAGGCAGCAGUAGGGAAUCUUUCACAAUGGGCGAAAGCCUGAUGAGCAACGCCGCGUGCAGGAUGACGGCCUUCGGGUUGUAAACUGCUUUUAUAUCCGAGAAAAUGAUGGUAAGAUAUGAAUAAGGACCGGCUAACUACGUGCCAGCAGCCGCGGUCAUACGUGGGUCCAAGCAUUAUCCGGAUUGACUGGGUGUAAAGAGUUGCGUAGGUGGUUUGUUAAGUGAUAGUGAAAUCUGGUGGCUCAACCAUUCAGACUAUUAUCUAAACUGAUAGACUCGAGAAGUUAGGGGUAGCUGGAAUUUCUAGUGUAGGAGUGAAAUCCGUAGAUAUUAGAAAGAACACGAUAGCGUACGCAGGCUACUGGGACGUUUCUGACACUAAGCACGAAAGCGUGGGGAGCAACGGGAUUAGAUACCCCGGUAGUCCACGCUGUAAACGAUGGAUACUAGCAGUUUCGGGUAUGACCCC
rnacentral:rRNA from 1 species